UUAUUUUACACGUUUGGAGUGCAUAUUUUAAAGGUCUAAGGUGAGAACAUAGUUAUAAUAUUUUCUUUUAGAUUAUUUACUAACAAAUUGUUGGUUUUUGUCCAAGAUCUACUUUUCAUUAGGAUUCACCAAAUUCUUGCUCUUCCAUAAUCUUACUCUGAAGUAGAGAAGUCUGUGUGCCUUAGAUUUAGGGGAAGUGUUCUUUAAUAAGAGUGCGUAGGGCUAACGAUACUUCAGUUCUAUGUAGAUUUCCCUUUGUCAAAACUAUAGAGUUGAGAGUGCAAUUGCAAAUCCUAUCUGUAGGGAAACAGCUUGAGUGUCCUCUCCAUCCCUGAGCCUUGCUGCCCACUGCACCCUGAGCAUCCUGAGCUUGGGACACUCGGUGAAUCUUAGUUUAGUGACCUCUAAUGGAAGAAACAAAGCGAGUCUGAAGUCCUUUGGAAGUGAAGUGUCUCCUCCUCCCCGAUACCACAGAACACUUACUUUUUAGCCCUGGUCUUGUCUUUAAUGGACUGAUUAUCUUUGGUCUACUGGUGUGUUGUUCUUCCCGGUGGGCUUCUCCUUGCAAAGCUUCCCAUGAGUGAAAGGGAUGCUGCAGUAUGCACAUUUUGAAGUGCUCUCUGACUUAGUUGUGUUUGGUUCAUAUACAAGCCACUCUUUUCUCCUGUUUCUUGAGGUGACAGAUAGGAAAGCAUGUGCUGCUCUCUAGUGUCCUCUUUGUUGUCAUGUCUCAUGGAUUUCAUUGGGUAUGGUAGGCAGUAUUCUUUAUUCUCAUGCAAGAGGUAAGAUGGUUUUGGGCAUUCCCAGCUGUGGCUGGUAGGUGCCUCUCUCUCAUACAGAGACGAAGCUGCUUUCCAUGGAGCUCUCACUAGACAGAUGUAAGGGACAGACAGGGUCAGCUAUCUGACUGUUGAUGGAAUGCAUUUGAUUUCCCUAUGGCCCUCAGGAUUUACCUCCAUGGUUAUCAUUAUCUGCAAAAAGGCACCCAGAGUCCACAGGUGUAGAUGAUGUGCACUCUUUCACCAAGCUUGGGUUUUAUUCACAGAGAUGUUCUCAUUUGGGGACUAAGUGUUAACUGGUUAUUGAUUGUCUAUUCAAACACUCCUUUCUGAACCUUUGGUCCAGUUGUGUAGAAGCAUGUUUGAUUUCGUCAGAUUAGAGUCUGUCGGAGAGCACAAGUGGACCUGGUGACCUUGAGAGUGUUGACAGCGGCUUUCAGCUUGUGAAGUCAAGAUGUGGGCCUGUGAGGAAGUUAUGUGUGGGGUUUUGCUCCCCCCCUUUUUUUUUCUUUUUGGUUAUGGUGCUAUUUCUAACAUUAACUUUGAAUAUGUGACACACUCCUGUACCAUUAAGGAUGAUUAACAAUAGUUAUAAUGUUUACAUUGAGCACUAGGUGUUUGAAAUGCGCAGGGAUUUAAUGCACAGAUGUACUUUAAUGUUAGGAUCAGUCUUUUUGAGAAAGCUGUAAGGUGAAUAUGAACUGGUCCAGAAAUAAGUGCUCUAGCUUCUGUUGCACUUGAAGUAGUUAGUGGUGUGUAUGUAAAAGGAGCCUUUUCCUACUCUAGUUUUGUAUGUCCAAAGUCCUGUGAUUUUAUUCAUUCAUAACUUUUAAAAGAAGUUUGAAGUAUUCAGGUUUGUUUUUUUUUUUACUUCCGUUGAAAGAUUACUAUUACCAAGCAUAUUAAGAAAAAAAGAUUUAAAAGGAUUUCCCCCCUAUAUCUUAUUUUAAAAGGUGUACUCACAAUGUGUAGUAAUUUAUGAAUAAAAAGAAAAUGUAUCUCGUUUCCAGGUAAUUCCUAGGGUGGUCAUUGUUGUUAUUUUUAAAGUGGAAAACCUCUGAUCAAAUAAUGUCUGAAGUUAGUGUGAUCUUGGAAAUUGUGACACAGGUCUCUUCUGUAAUGGAGUUUGCACCUAGAGAAGUUGGUUUUGAAUAAGACAUGUUUUUAAAAAGCACUUCAAGACCUAGAACAACAAUGUAUCAGGUUUAUAAAUAGAUCCAUUCAUCACUACCAGAGGGUUACAUUGCAGAGAGGUCCAUAUGGUAGAUACCGCCAGCUACACUGUCCACAGUCUGAUGUCACUAAGCCUUUGUCCUCUUAUAUGGCUUUUAGGGGAAGGAUGGGCUCACACCACAGUCCCAGUUUCUGUGGUGGUCUUUUUCUUAAGUCACUGUACUGUAUGAUACGAAAAUUGACCUGGAUUUUACUUUCGCGCCACUGCAAUUUCAAUGUGAUUGUGUCACCUGGAAAAAGACAUCUGAGGUUUGUAAUGGAGUAGAAUGCAGAACAUUAAAGAUGCACGAGGUGCUGUUUUCCUCUCCCUUCAGUGUCCUGAUUCUGCCAGGAACAACCCACAGGCUCGAGGAGGGCUUGGCCUUGUCCUCCUUCAGUGAUUGAAGUGACCAGCUCCAUUCUUUGAUCAUUAAACCAGCAUAUUGCAG
rnacentral:lncRNA from 1 species